rnacentral:rRNA from 1 species
UACGGGGGGGGCAAGCGUUGUUCGGAAUUACUGGGCGUAAAGGGCUCGUAGGCGGCCAACUAAGUCGGACGUGAAAUCCCCAGGCUCAACCUGGGAACUGCGUCCGAUACUGGCAGGCUUGAAUCCGGGAGAGGGAUGUGGAAUUCCAGGUGUAGCGGUGAAAUGCGUAGAUAUCUGGAGGAACACCGGUGGCGAAGGCGGCAUCCUGGACCGGUAUUGACGCUGAGGCGCGAAAGCUAGGGGAGCAAACGGG